rnacentral:rRNA from 1 species
GCAUAUCAAUAAGCGGAGGAAAAGAAAAUAACAAUGAUUUCCCUAGUAACGGCGAGUGAAGAGGAAAGAGCUCAAAGUUGGAACCUGUUUGGCCUAGCUAAACCGGAUUGUAGACUGUAGAAGUGUUUUCCAGGCAAGCCGAGUAAAUAAGUCCUUUGGAACAGGGCAUCAUAGAGGGUGAGAAUCCCGUCUUUGGCUUGAGCAUUUGCCUUUUGUGAUACGCUUUCAAAGAGUCAGGUUGUUUGGGAAUGCAGCCUAAAUUGGGUGGUAAAUCUCACCUAAAGCUAAAUAUUGGCGAGAAACCGAUAGCGAACAAGUACCGUGAGGGAAAGAUGAAAAGAACUUUGAAAAGAGAGUUAAACAGUAUGUGAAAUUGUUAAAAGGGAACCGUUUGGAGCCAGACUGGCUUGUCUGUAAUCAAUCUAGGCUUCGGCCUGGAUGCACUUGCAGGCUAUGCCUGCCAACGACAAUUUGACUUGAGGGAAAAAACUAAGGGAAAUGUGGCCCACUUGUGGGUGUUAUAGUCCCUUAGAAAAUACCUUGGGUUGGAUUGAGGAACGCAGCGAAUGCUUUUUGGCGAGUUUUCCAGGAAGGUUUUCUGAGGUACUACGGUAUCAAGGUUGAUCUUUUUGGUUAUACUUCUAUUCGCUUAGGUUGUUGGCUUAAUGACUCUAAAUGACCCGUCUUGAAACACGGACCAAGGAGUCCACCAUUAGUGCGAGUAUUUGGGUGCCAAACCCAUAUGCGUAAGGAAACUGAUUGAUACGAAUCCAUUAAGGAGGCAGUAUCGUCCGGCGCUGACGUUUUAUACUGAAUUGACCGAGACAAAGCACUAAUGAUGGGACCCGAAAGAUGGUGAACUAUGCCUGAAUAGGGUGAAGCCAGAGGAAACUCUGGUGGAGGCUCGUAGCGAUUCUGACGUGCAAAUCGAUCGUCAAAUUUGGGUAUAGGGGCGAAAGACUAAUCGAACCAUCUAGUAGCUGGUUCCUGCC